rnacentral:misc_RNA from 1 species
GUUAUGGAAAGUCAAUAUUAUAUUUAGUUAUAUUACUAUCUAGUGUAGGAUUUAUAGAAUUCCUAGUCGGUAUAGUACAGCACAAUUAUAGGAAAGAAUUGUGUGUGUGUGUGUGUAUGUGUCGUGAAGCUUUGGAUAACUAGCAACAGCUGUUGCUUCACCUUAUUUUUCUUUAUUUAUUUCUUCUGGAUUAUGUACAACUUACAUACCAAGUUCGUCAGCCGUGCUUAGUUAUUUAUGUGCCAACUUUGCAAAACAGAAUGGUGGUUGUUCAUUGGCUAAUUAUUGAUGAUCAAUGCAAUUUUAAUGUGUUAUUUGUGUAGAAAUGCAAAAUAAAACUAGUUCCCAUGUUCAGUGUUUUGGUGAUCUACAAAGUCAGUUGAAGCUUUUUAAUGGGUGUAGGUUAUCUUCUCUUUUGAUUGGGUAUUUUGAUGAAAGUUAUUGCCCUUGCAAAUGAGUUUCUGGAUAACUAACAAUCGCUGCUGCUUCCCCUUGUUCUUCUUUAUUUAUUUCUUCCGGAUGAUAAAAGUAAUAGACUGUUUUCAUCAGCCGUGCUUAGAUAUAUUGUAUAUAUGCGGCUGACUUUACGAAACUGAAUGAGGGUUGUUCGUAGGGUAACCAUGGAUAUCACACAAUCUUAAAAUGUGUUAUUCAUGUAGAAAUGUGGAAUAAAACUGGUUCCUAUGUCUAAUGUUUCAGUGAUCUACAAAGUCAGUUGAAGUCAGUUCCCUAAGUAAUAUUGUUCAGGAUAUUAGUUUACCAGUUGUAUG